rnacentral:tRNA from 1 species
UGGGAUAUAGCUCAGUUGGUUAGAGCGCCACCUUGACAUGGUGGAGGUCAGCGGUUCGAGUCCGCUUAUCCCAACCA